AAGAGCACAACAAUUUUCGUAUCUCACCUUAAUUUGGUAACUAUGAUUUAAUUUUUUGACAUAGAAGAUUACAACCUGCGCAAACGCAAGGCGGAACGGCGUAAGUGCUUUAAAAGGCGCCGUGUGCAAGUGCCGUAUCUAAAGAACAAUGAAUAUAAAAAGGUUUAUCAAACUUGACGCCUAUUUUAUGGUCGAUAUUUAAUCCUUACUGGCCAUAUUUUGACGGAACUGUCAAUGAAACUUCAAGCAGACAUACUUGACAUCCGUACAAGAAAUGGCUUGAGUGCUGUUUUAUUCAAAAACAUGAAAUAUAUAUAAAAAUGGAUUUGUGUCAAAUAAAAGCAUCCAUGUCGUUUUCACCUCAUCGAAUGUCCUAAUUGAUCCACCACGGCACCAUAUCGUAACGGAUCCUCCACAGUCCACACAGUCGAAUGGAGGGUGGGAGGAGGCAAAUGCGUCUGCUGGGUCGAUUACUGGGGAAACUGCGUGGCGGCAACAGCACCUUUGAAAAACGGCUUUCUACUUCCACAUCCAGCGGGGUUAUAUUCCCAACAAAGUUCAGCAACAGCGAGAGCACGAUGACUGACGACGAAGACGCAGCGCCCUCUACUCCUUCCUCACGGAGUCCUCUUGGCGCUAACAUCGAUUUGAGAUACAGUGGGCAAUGCAUGACGCCUGAGCAACUACCUGAAUUCUGCAACCAACUACACCACCUGGUCGAGGUGAUUAGAAACAUCCAGUCUUAUGGGAAAAUCACUGGCGAAUAUCCGAGUGAACUUGAGAAGCGUCUAGAAGAGGAGGCGCGAGAACUAGCCGCGCUCGCGGCGGAGGCGCGUAACGCGCGCGAUGUGGUGACGCGCACGCGCGCCCAGCGCCGCGCUGUUCGCGCGCAGAAGAAACAGCUCGUCGCGCACCUCGCCAGCCUCAAGGAAACUGAAACACGUGAACUGGAGAAUUCCAUUCGACUAGCGGACCGCAAAUUGUAUUUGAGUUGGGAAGCCCUCAAAGAAUCUACAGAUCCGACUGCUUUGGAACCUUUGCUGGAAGAAGUUACGACCAAACAAAUAGCCUUGGAUAACCUGGUGCGCCUGAUAGAGUGCCGGCGUUCGUCCCUCACUCGUAGCACCACCCCGCCUACGCUGUUCGCAGGAGCCGAUAAGUCGGAUGGUAAACCCACUGGCCUUGUACUGACACGCUCCCAUUCGAGACCAGCUCGUUCGAAGGAGGCGCCCGACGGUUCGUACAGAAGGCUUAAUACAAGUCUUGCCAAGUUUACGCGAUUAGUGGGAGGAUUUGUUCGAAGUAUCUCCACAAAAAAAUGAGAAGAAUUCUCAUUAUUAAACAGUGAGCAGGCAGGAUGUUCACAACCCGCAUCGUCGAUAUCCUUUUAUAGAUUCGAAGACAGAAUGUUUUAUAUCCUCAAUAGUUACAACUUCGUUCUAAAGUCGAGUGCCGCAGGCAAGAAAAAAUUCGACGGUUCCAAACGGGCCGUCAAAAGAAAACGGGCGCGAGAGCCGCGAUCGGUGCCUCUCUCGGGCGAGCCUAGCAGACAUGGGCCGCAGCAACAG
rnacentral:misc_RNA from 1 species